rnacentral:rRNA from 1 species
GAUGAACGCUGGCGGCGUGCUUAACACAUGCAAGUCGAACGGUGAAGCCAAGCUUGCUUGGUGGAUCAGUGGCGAACGGGUGAGUAACACGUGAGCAACCUGCCCUGGACUCUGGGAUAAGCGCUGGAAACGGCGUCUAAUACUGGAUAUGAGACGUGAUCGCAUGGUCGUGUUUGGAAAGAUUUUUCGGUCUGGGAUGGGCUCGCGGCCUAUCAGCUUGUUGGUGAGGUAAUGGCUCACCAAGGCGU